rnacentral:lncRNA from 1 species
UCAUUUUCUAUCCAAUUGAUUUCUCAGUAUCCAUUCCAAUACUCCCUCUUCUCUCUCACGCCUACUCCCUCACACUCUAACCAUUCUCUUCAAUUCAAGCUUUGAACUAAGGAAAGGAAGCAUGGAUUCUUACAUGCAAUCAUGGUAGCAACUUCUCUAGCCAUAAGUAAACAAGGUAACAGACUUACCUUUUCCUUUUCUUUAACAUAAUCCUUGUAAUUUCCCAUUUUAAUUAUUCAACCAAAAUCUGAUGAGUACUCCCUUCCUUUUGAAUUGAGAGCUUGUAUGUGAGUUAUAGUAGCCAAGGAGUCAUGGGUUCAUGUUUGAAGCUUGAAGUUUUGAGUGGUGACUUUUGAAAGAGAUUGUGUUGAAUUUCGUUUUUGGAUAUACUUUCAGAAAAACAGUAAGUACUCCUUCCCUGUAACUCCAAUCGAGUUAAUUCUUUAAGUUCUGUAAAGCUAACGAAUUUACCCUCGUUGGCAUAUCAAAUUUUAUCGGAUUCGGAGUUACAAUGCAUUAUGUAGGUGAUGCUAAAGUUGAAGAUACGAAACAGGAUUUCUGCAGAAAAUGUGUUUGGACAGUGCUGCACUUAAAGGUUAACUGCGCCCUCUCUAUAACUCGGUUUGACAUUCCAUUUGCUUCUAUGGAUAGCUAACUCGAUUACGGUUGGUAUGGUUCCGGUUUUGUGAAUUUUCAAUAAGGGAUGAGGUCUGUAUGAAUUUUUGAAGUUGAUACUCCGAUGCAGAAUUCUGCAGAAAGGUAUGGGUACGGGUUUGAAGCAUUUCGAUUGAAAUUAUGCAUAUCGGCGAGCUCUGGAAAUGACAAUGGUAUUGUUCAAGCGUAUUUGCAGGUGGGUUCCCUUAGAGCCUUAAACUCUAGUUAGUUUUAACUCUAUUAGUUUCCCCAAAUUAUGAAUCUUGCAUGAUAACAUAAGCAUUAGGGUGAAUUGUGUAUGAGAGGAGCUUAAUCCCAAAGCUUCUCUUCGUUUUAAUUAUGUGAAAUAUGUUGUAAUGUUCAUGGCUAAUAAGUAAAGGGAUUGUGAUAAUGAUUUUCUGCAAAACGGAUGGAAAUUGUAAAAACAGAGUAAUGAACUGAUAGCCUCGCUAAGCGAAAUGGUACUUGCUAGGCGAGAAUAUCAGCUCAGUACUAUGUAGAAUUUAAAAUUAUGAACAAACUCACGUUUUUGAAUCCCCUACCUUUUUAGUACAUUUUCUGUGAAUAAUACAAGUAUAAUAAUUAAUUAAAAUGUUAAGUACACGUUAAGUUAAGAUAAUCAGGAUAUCAGGACAAGUUAGCUACUCCAGGGAGGGAAAUUCAUGGGUAGGAUANNN